rnacentral:misc_RNA from 1 species
CCUGUUUCUAUUAGGUUAUUAAAAAAAAUAAAAACAAAAUUACGCUCCAGUCUCCCCCACUUCCCAGAUUCCAUCACUCUUCUCGCUAGUCUACCAGUCCCACCAUCACUCCUCCACCAUGACCGCAAUCACUUUUCGUCCUACCACCGCCUCAGCCGUCGUUCGCUCUUCCCUCACAUCAUCAAAUCUUGGAAAACCCACAAAAGCCCUCUUCCCUUUCUCUAAACUGCCCUUCACUUUCAAACCCCUAAACCCC